CUAACUGUACAGAUAUCAAAAGAUUUCUAUGAAUAAAGUAUAUUUUUGAAAUAAUGAGUUUUAGAGUGUUUGAUCUCACAAACCAAAUGGCAGAUUCACAAUGUCCUCUUCUGAGCAGGAUCUAAAUGUGGAGUAUUGCCUUGAGCAGCUGCCCUUUGCCAUUGAUGAGUGUUCUGUCACUCUGUUAUGGAGAGUUGGAGGAGAACACAAUCUGACUGGU